rnacentral:rRNA from 1 species
UACGAAGGUCCCGAGCGUUGUUCGGAAUCACUGGGCGUAAAGGGAGCGUAGGCGGCGCGGUAAGUCAGAUGUGAAAUCCCGGGGCUCAACCCCGGAACUGCAUCCGAUACUGCCGUGCUAGAGGAUUGGAGAGGUAGCUGGAAUUCUUGGUGUAGCAGUGAAAUGCGUAGAGAUCAAGAGGAACACUCGUGGCGAAAGCGAGCUACUGGACAAUUCCUGACACUGAGGCACGAAAGCUAGGGGAGCAAACAGG